UACAGAGGGUGCAAGCGUUAAUCGGAGUUACUGGGCGUAAAGGGCGCGUAGGCGGUUUUUUAAGUUGGAUGUGAAAUCCCUGGGCUUAACCUAGGAAUGGCAUUCAAAACUGGAGAACUGGAGUACUGUAGAGGGUAGUGGAAUUUCCGGUGUAGCGGUGAAAUGCGUAGAGAUCGGAAGGAACACCAGUGGCGAAGGCGGCUACCUGGACAGAUACUGACGCUGAGGCGCGAGAGCGUGGGGAGCAAACAGG
rnacentral:rRNA from 1 species